GAUGAACGCUAGCUACAGGCUUAACACAUGCAAGUCGAGGGGAAACGGCAUUGAGUGCUUGCACUCUUUGGACGUCGACCGGCGCACGGGUGAGUAACGCGUAUCCAACCUUCCCAUUACUGUGGGAUAACCUGCCGAAAGGCAGACUAAUACCGCAUAGUCUUCGAUGACGGCAUCAGAUUUGAAGUAAAGAUUUAUCGGUAAUGGAUGGGGAUGCGUCUGAUUAGCUUGUUGGCGGGGUAACGGCCCGCCAAGGCUACGAUCAGUAGGGGUUCUGAGAGGAAGGUCCCCCACAUUGGAACUGAGACACGGUCCAAACUCCUACGGGAGGCAGCAGUGAGGAAUAUUGGUCAAUGGACGGAAGUCUGAACCAGCCAAGUAGCGUGCAGGAUGACGGCCCUAUGGGUUGUAAACUGCUUUUGUAUGGGGAUAAAGUUAGGGACGUGUCCCUAUUUGCAGGUACCAUACGAAUAAGGACCGGCUAAUUCCGUG
rnacentral:rRNA from 1 species